AAACAUAUAAGUAGCCAAUCUAAGCCAGUGAUCAUGCGCACUCUCUAUUUAUUACUUCACCCCCAAUUUAUAUAGCUAAGAGAUACUAAAUAAAACAGGUGAAACUGAAGAAUGUCCGAUGACUGAAUAUUGCUAACAAGAGCUACAAUCAUCACUUUGUCAAAGAUGCCUUUGCAUCUUGUCUGUAGGUGAGACGUAUUGUUGGUUGAUGUUUACAAGGCUAAUAAAAGAAAGCAGGGAGUCUAUUUAAUCUAUGUUGAUCUAUACUCUAUAUAUGAAUCAGAAAAGUGCUGCGGUUUGGAGGAUGAAACUUUCGUAGCUGACGCUGAUGGUGACGUGUGGGGAUGUGUAGUGGUGGCAGUUACGAACAUGGUACGUAAUUAUUUGAGAGGUUGAGGACAAAGUGCUGAGAAGAUAAUGUAAUGGAGCUUCUAGCAUCGCAUAUAGCAGACGCCACGAAUUGAAUAGCAAGAUGCCAGCUUGGGGCCAGAGACUGUAAGUUACCAUGUUAGCUAUCUAACCCCCAUAGGCCCGCCUGACAAUUCAACAACACAUAACCGUGAAAAAGUGUGAUAAGGUGUGUGAAACAUGCGCAUACCACAUGUCCGGCAGUGUAAGUACAGCGCAGUCCACUUCAGGCUCGAUACCUUUUUUUUUGUGCUGCACUCAGAGAAAAGGACUCCACAGUCAAGGUCCAUAAGAACUAUGGUAGACACAAGUCACUUAAGACAACGUGACACAGCGGCAUGAAAAUAAAAGAGACACAACAAAAUACAAGGUAGGAAAAUGGAAGAUGACUCACUGGCACUCAUGGCACACAUCUUGAAACUUUGUUCACAUUGCUGUCUACAAUAGUAGUGCAUGUAUACGGGCGUGAGAACCGCGCCGACUGGUAAUGUCGUGAGGACGAGGACUAGAAGUAGAAGGAGUGCAAGGAGGAGAGGAGAAAUAGAGGAUCGAUGCUCGGCAGACAUCAUCGUAUAUGGAAUUUUUGGUCGAGCUGAUGAUUUGUCGGUUUGAAUUAUUGUUUUUGGAAGUUGUAGGUUGUGAGACUGUGAUGGGCACAAUAAAAGCCAUUAUACGAUACCCUAUUUUUAUACCUUGUCGAGAAGGAAAAUUCUUCACUGGUUCUUAUGC